rnacentral:lncRNA from 1 species
GGUCUGGAAAGUCUGCCUCUUGAGUUUCUUUAUAGAAUUCUUUGAGUAAAGGCUGCCUUCCAAAGACAGGAGUGUUAGGAUUUCAAGAAAUGAAAUGAUAAAAAUGGAUCCAUCAUUUUUGAAAAAAAAAAUCAAAUAUAUAAGUAUAUGUUUAUCUGAAGAUAUGAUAACAUGUAUUCUCAGUUGAAAGAAUAAUAAUUACAUGAACACUCAGGCACACACCACCAUUAUAAGAAAUAAUAAAACAUUGUCCACAGGUGGAUUUGUGACAGUCUCCACCCCAUGCCCUUCUUGAUCACAUGUCCCUGUCUUUUAUUCUAGGAAAUAAUAAUUCUGCAUUUUAUGUUUGUUGUGCCUUGACAUUCUUUAUACCUUUACCACCUGCAUAUGAAUCUCUGAAAACAUAUCAUUUAAUUUGACCUUUCUAUAGAUGGAACCAUAUUAAACAUAGUCUUCUGUGACUUGUUUUUUCUCAAUGUCCUGUUUUUAAGAGUCACGCAAGUUGCUGUUGCUUAUAACUAGUAGAUAAUUUACGUACCUGCUAUUUUACUGUUGUGUUAUGCAUUCUACUCUUGAUGGCCAUUCUUCUUUCUUUUUAUUUAUUGUUUUAUUUAUUGUUUUAUUUAUUGUUUUAUUUAUUUAUUUAUUAUUUUUCUUUCUUUGCUUCUUUAGGGCCACACUCACAGCAUAUGGAGAUUCCCAGGUUAGGAGCCCAGUCGGAGCUGUAGCUGUAGGUCUAUGCCACAGCCACAGCAAUGUACAAUCUGAGCCACGUCUGUGACCUACACCACAACUCAGGACAACACCAGAUCCUUAACCCACUGAGCGAGGCCAGGGAUCAAACCUGCGUCCUCAUGGAUGCUGGUCAGUUUCGUUAACUGUUGAGCCACAAAGGGAACUCCCCCUCUUUCUUUUCAAAUUGGAGAAAAUCUUUCUUUUCCCAAGAAGAUGUUAAAAUGAAUACCAACCAAACAGAACAAAACAAAAACCGGGAAAUAAGAUGCUAGUGAAGGAUACACUGCUCUUUGUCUGUAGAACAUUUGAAAAGUCUAACACAUCUCCUUGGAACUCCUUGUUCUUAUAGGAGAGUUCACCUUGAUUUACUGUGACAUUCAUCUCUACUCUUUUUUGGUGGUUUGUUUUUUCAAUUCACCAGUUCCUGCAUGUGACUGAAAGGCUCUGGCUACUUUAGAAACUACCUCUCUCCCCUGGUCCUCCCCCAGCCAGUUAAGAAACUUCAAGAAUGUUCUUUUGUGCCUCCAGGUUUCCGAUCACUCUUCAUGACAUUUUUGGCCCAGGCCAUCAUAGGAGAAUUUUCUUGCAAGCCUCAGGCCACUGACUGCACAUGACUUGCCUUUGAUAAUCCAGUUCUUCUAGAUAUAAUGCAAAUCUAUCAGUGAUAGAUCUAACAGUGAUAAUUCUGUUAGUCAUUUCAUUGUUAGACUUUCAUCCUUGAGUCUAUGAAUGAUUCAGUUUCAUAAAUUAAAAAAACCCUUGUCUCUCCUUCACAUCUUGAGGCUUGUUCAGAGAACAUUUCUCAGCUCCACUUGAAACAUCCAUUCAUCUACCUACCGCAGAAAGUUUGGAAAUCUUGAAUGGGCAGCGGGGAGAAGUCUUUGUUCUGCCCCGUGAGAGAACCUCAGUUGUCCAAGCCUCUAAUGAAGUUUUCAAGAGCAUAAACAACCACAUGAUCUCUUCCUACAGAAAGAGACAAAGAAAGAUUUCUGAGACUGGUGGAAUAUUUUACUUCUCAAACAUUUCUCUAAGUUUUUUCUCCUUUUUGUUGUAGGUUUCAGUUCUGAAUAAUUAGCAUACGUUUGCCUCAUGAGAACAACCUGAGUUGCAAAAACUCAUUUUAAAGCUUCUCUGCUUAAAGCACCCAGUUCCAUAAAUUAUACAUCUGUUACUUGAUAUGCAUUUUCCAUUAGGUAGUCUAAAGCCAUCCCACAUGAAUACUCAUUUUCACAUUAAAGGUACAAAAAGCCUGGAAGCCUGAAAGCCUGAUUGUCUGUGUUUUUUUUUCCCCCUUUUCUUUUUGCCAAGAGGUAGAUACUCUUCUUUUGAAAACCCUAUUUAUUCCUGAUGGGAAGUUUUAUUUCUAUCUUCAGAAACACCAUUUUAGAUUUGUGUAAUCAGUUCAGCAAACUGCUUCUUAAAGUGAUAAAUAAAAAUCCAAUUAAACUUGCAAUUAGAGUUUACUAAAAAUAUAGGUUGCUAUAAUUUUGUUGGCGAUAGAAGUACAGAAGUAGAAAUGAUUAAUGAUGAUUACUAAUUAUGCAGCUGUGUUCAGAGCACACAAAUCUAUAAAACCAUGGAUUUAGAGUUAAAUAAGGGCUUCAUGCUAAGAAAAACCUUUGUAGACAGUAUCUAAAUCCAGCUCAUUUCUAUUCUGUACUUAAUCACCCAUCACCUGUUAUCACUUUGCUUAACAAAGAAAAACCAGAAAAAUAGAGUUCUAGAAUGACUGUCUCAUUCUUAUUUCCUUUGUUGUUGUUUUGCUGACUAAGUUUGUGGUCAAAAAAAUGCCGUCGAUGUGAGACAUUAUCAAAUAUUAAUUAUAGUGAAGGGCAAUUCUGACUUCUUUCUUUCCUGAAUAUUGGAUAACUUAUUCUGAUCUUUCAUAUCAAAAAUAGAUUUUUUUGUGGGGCUAAUGGAAAUCUCUAAAAAAUAAAUAUUUGACUUAUAGAAAGAAGACGUGAGUUUGAUCACUUCCUCUGCAACUUAAAAUAAGAAAACUUACCAAAUAACUCUCAAUAUUUUUUUAGCCAUAUAUUUUUUUUGGAUGAGCACCAAAGUCACAUUUUUCCUUUUCUGCUCUUCACUCCUGUAGAAAAAUCAUUCUUUUAGGAAAAGACAAUUUUGCAAAUAAAGAAACAGAGAUCCAAAGGGCUUAUGUGAAAUUGUAAUAUCUCAAACUUAGUUCUCUUAUACCCUGGUCGUAUGUUACUUUCAGUUUCCAAUCAAUGAGCAAAAACAAAAACAAAUUAAAAAACAACAAAGAAAGAGAGAGACAGAGAGAGAAAUGAAGAGAAUAAAGGAGAGAAGAGGGACAUAGGGAGAGAAAAAAAAGGAGAGAGAAAAUGAAGGAGAGAUAGAAGAAACUGUUAUUACUUAAAUGAAUGUUAAACAGGGGAUGCUGGGUAGGGAGGAAAAUGAUAAUAUAUUGCAGGGAAAAAAAGAAUAUAGAAAUAUGGGAAAGGUUUCACCUAACAAGCGAAAGAAAGAAAGAAAGAAAGAAAAAAGAAAGAAAGAAAGAGAAAGAAAGAGAAAGAAAGAAAGAAAGAAAGAAAGAAAGAAAGGAAGGAGGGAGGGAGGGAGGGAGGGAAGGAAGGAAGGAAGGAAAGAAAGAAAGAAAAAAAGGAAGAAAGAAAGAAAG